AUAAAGACACGUUUUUUUGUUAACAACGCUCCAAACAUUUAUCUCUUUUGUUUUAUGUGUAUGUAACACGCGCUGCAUGGUUUACGAGGGUUUUUGUUAAUCCCCUGCUGUUAGUAUAUAAAGCAAUUUUUUUUCUUUAUAUCCAUCAUUAGUUCUUGCAUUGUGAAAGAGAACGUUGACAAUGAAAAGUUUUAUUGUAUUGUUGUUUGUUGUGGCAGCUGUCGGUUACGUCACCGGGCAACAUUUUCCAACGAGAAAAUGCCCGAAAGGUGAACAUUCAGUUCUGUAUUGCCCUCAAAUGGCCGAGCCGGACUGUGAGAAUCCCGAAGUCCACGAUUUCGUUGACCACGUGGGCCCAUGCGACGUACCACAGUGCUUCUGCGACCGGCCUAAUGUCCGGAACACGAAAACUGGCAAAUGUGUACCGGAAUCUGAAUGUUAAUAAAAUUGUGUAAAUCUAUACAUGUAAAUAAAAUUAGAGUGUCUGUUUGUAGUACUUAAA